rnacentral:ncRNA from 1 species
CAAGGGUGCGCCGUCUACGCACGUUUGCCGUCUGCUGAGCACUGCCCGAUUUGACACAGGGCAGAGAGACGAAAGGA